AACGGGCAAACUCGUUAGACUUCGGAUCAUGAAGUCGCGGGUUCGAAUCCCGC
rnacentral:tRNA from 12 species